rnacentral:rRNA from 1 species
GCAAUACGUCAGCGGCAGACGGGUGAGUAACGCGUGGGAACAUACCUAUUGGUUCGGAACAACACAGGGAAACUUGUGCUAAUACCGGAUAAGCCCUUACGGGGAAAGAUUUAUCGCCGAAAGAUUGGCCCGCGUCUGAUUAGCUAGUUGGUGAGGUAAUGGCUCACCAAGGCGACGAUCAGUAGCUGGUCUGAGAGGAUGAUCAGCCACAUUGGGACUGAGACACGGCCCAAACUCCUACGGGAGGCAGCAGUGGGGAAUAUUGGACAAUGGGCGCAAGCCUGAUCCAGCCAUGCCGCGUGAGUGAUGAAGGCCCUAGGGUUGUAAAGCUCUUUUGUGCGGGAAGAUAAUGACGGUACCGCAAGAAUAAGCCCCGGCUAACUUCGUGCCAGCAGCCGCGGUAAUACGAAGGGGGCUAGCGUUGCUCGGAAUCACUGGGCGUAAAGGGUGCGUAGGCGGGUCUUUAAGUCAGAGGUGAAAUCCUGGAGCUCAACUCCAGAACUGCCUUUGAUACUGAAGGUCUUGAGUUCGGGAGAGGUGAGUGGAACUGCGAGUGUAGAGGUGAAAUUCGUAGAUAUUCGCAAGAACACCAGUGGCGAAGGCGGCUCACUGGCCCGAUACUGACGCUGAGGCACGAAA